rnacentral:rRNA from 1 species
AGAGUUUGAUCCUGGCUCAGGAUGAACGCUAGCGACAGGCCUAACACAUGCAAGUCGAGGGGCAGCACAAGGAGUAAUCUGAGGUGGCGACCGGCGCACGGGUGAGUAACACGUAUGCAACCUGCCUGCUACUUGGGGAUAACCCGUUGAAAGACGGCCUAAUACCCAAUGAAACAGGGGCCCCACCUGGGGAUAUUUGUUAAAGAUUAAUUGGUAGCAGAUGGGCAUGCGUAUGAUUAGCUAGUAGGUGAGGUAACGGCUCACCUAGGCAACGGUCAUUAGGGGUUCUGAGAGGAAGGUCCCCCACACUGGAACUGAGACACGGUCCAGACUCCUACGGGAGGCAGCAGUGAGGAAUAUUGGUCAAUGGUCGAGAGACUGAACCAGCCAAGUCGCGUGAAGGAUGACGGUUCUAUGAAUUGUAAACUUCUUUUAUUCGGGAAUAAAGUAUGGUACGUGUACUGUUUUGUAUGUACCGAAUGAAUAAGCAUCGGCUAACUCCGUGCCAGCAGCCGCGGUAAUACGGAGGAUGCGAGCGUUAUCCGGAUUUAUUGGGUUUAAAGGGUGCGUAGGCGGACUUGUAAGUCAGUGGUGAAAGUUUGCAGCUUAACUGUAAAAUUGCCGUUGAAACUGCGGGUCUUGAGUGCAAAUGAGGUAGGCGGAAUGUGUUGUGUAGCGGUGAAAUGCAUAGAUAUAACACAGAACUCCGAUUGCGAAGGCAGCUUACUGGGAUGCAACUGACGCUGAUGCACGAAAGCGUGGGUAUCAAACAGGAUUAGAUACCCUGGUAGUCCACGCAGUAAACGAUG